rnacentral:rRNA from 1 species
CCUACGGGAGGCAGCAGUGAGGAAUAUUGGUCAAUGGGCGCGAGCCUGAACCAGCCAAGUCGCGUGAGGGAAGACGGUCCUAUGGAUUGUAAACCUCUUUUGUCGGGGAGCAAAAGACGCCACGCGUGGCGUUCCGAGAGUAACCUAAGAAAAAGCAUCGUCUAACUCCGUGCCAGCAGCCGCGGUAAUAAGGGGGAGGCGAGCGUUAUCCGGAUUUACUGGGUUUAAAGGGUGCGCAGGCGGAAUAUCAAGUCAGCGGUAAAAUUGAGAGGCUCAACCUCUUCGAGCCGUUGAAACUGGUUGUCUUGAGGGAGUGAGAAGUAUGCGGAAUGCGUGGUGUAGCGGUGAAAUGCAUAGAUAUCACGCAGAACUCCGAUUGCGAAGGCAGCAUACCGGCGCUCAACUGACGCUCAUGCACGAAAGUGUGGGUAUCGAACAGGAUUAGAUACCCGAGUAGUC